rnacentral:rRNA from 1 species
UGGGGAAUUUUGGACAAUGGGCGCAAGCCUGAUCCAGCCAUGCCGCGUGCGGGAAGAGGGCCUUCGGGUUGUAAACCGCUUUUGUCAGGGAAGAAAUCUUCUGAGUUAAUACCUCGGGAGGAUGACGGUACCUGAAGAAUAAGCACCGGCUAACUACGUGCCAGCAGCCGCGGUAAUACGUAGGGUGCAAGCGUUAAUCGGAAUUACUGGGCGUAAAGCGUGCGCAGGCGGUUUUGUAAGACAGAGGUGAAAUCCCCGGGCUCAACCUGGGAACUGCCUUUGUGACUGCAAGGCUUGAGUGCGGCAGAGGGGGGAUGGAAUUCCGCGUGUAGCAGUGAAAUUGCGUAGAUAUGCGGAGGAACACCGAUGGCGAAGGCAAUCCCCUGGGCCUGCACUGACGCUCAUGCACGAAAGCGU